rnacentral:misc_RNA from 1 species
GAAGAACCUCCCCUGUUUCCACCAUCAUCAACCUCUUGUUGCUCCUUCAUGCUUCUCUUGAAGAAACUUAUGAGCAAAAGACGAACAUGGGUUUUCCUCUUUCUCACUGUUUACACAAUUUUACUCUCAAUUUCCUGGAAUUUCCUCAAUUCAGUACUUUCUUGGUACGAAUCCACCAUGAAAUUGACACCCACUUCAGCUCUCUACGGAUCUAUGAUAUUAGGGCUUGCAUUUGGGGUUUUAUCGAUUGUAGCAGCUCUGAUCGUUGUGGUUCCAGCAACACUUGUAACUUGGAUAACUAUUUUGGUUUUAUCGAUUGUAGCAGCUCUGAUCGUUGUGGUUCCAGCAACACUUGUAACUUGGAUAACUAUUUUGGUUUUGUUGACAUUUGCAGGUAAAGGGAGAAGGGAUUUGGUUAUCGAGGGGAAGAAGUUAACGGCUGAGAUUUCUGGGUUUGUUGUUAGGGUUUUGAUUAGAGAAGGGAAUCUUGUUGCUGUGAUUUGUGCUGUUCUUGGGUAUUUUGCACUUGUUAGAAGGAAUAAAGAAGAUGGUAUUGAUUAUUGAAUU